rnacentral:lncRNA from 1 species
UUAAACUGUUAUUCUUAACUAGAUUUUAUUCAGUCUUCACUAUUCAAAAUCUGUAUUAGUGGUUUUUAAAAUUUUUUUAAUGAAAUAUAUGGCUUCAUGUGAUCAUCACCACAAUAAGGACACAGAAUUCUUUGAUAAGCAUGAAGAAACUUCUUUUUUAUAUUAUUAUUCAAUGUUUGUCACAUAGUCUUAUUUUACUUUUCUGUCUUGUCUCCUAGAAAUUACUAGUAUUAAUUUCCAAAGUUUUGUCAUUGUAAGAAUGCUACAGAAGUUGAUCUAUAUGGAAUGUAACAUUUUGGAAUUGGUCUUUCAUUAAGGAAAGUAACUUGAAUGGUAGCAAAUUUGUAUUUUUGUUAGUAGUCCAUUUUUAUUGCUGAGUUGUAUUCUGUAGUACAGAUAUAACAAGGCUGGUUCAAUCACUCACAUUUUGAAUGAUAUUUGAAAAUUUACAUUACUAUUUAACUCGUGUACAUGUUUUUGUUUGAAUAUAAAUCAUUUAUUUGGAAUAAAUAUUCAGAAAUAUAGUGGCUGUUUUUAAAAAGAAAUUGUGACACUAUUUUCCAAAAUGGUUUUAACAUUUAGGAUUUCUACCAGUAAUGUAUAAAAUACUCAAUUUUUAUAUACUGGCUGAAUGAAAAAGAAAAAUAGAAAAAAAAAAGGAAACAUGACUGUUCCUAGGUAUGGUGUGCAGGAGAAAGCUUAUUAUAGAUAUGUGGGAGAGCAUAAGGAGAUGCAGAGAACUCUGGGAGAGUUCAGAAUGUACAUGAUUCUGAGCCAGGCCUUGUGGGAGAUGGGGAGGGGAAGGGAGAGGGAAGAUAGGGGAACCAGUUGCAGAAGCCAGGAGGCCCAAAGGUAAAAGGAAAGCAGGUAACCAAAAUGGCUGGAUUACAUAGGCAUGGGCAGCUGUGGGGGAAGGGCAGUACAAGCCCCUGGGCUGGAGAGUUAGUUUAGGGGGCAGGAAUAUCAGCCAGGAAUCCCUGUAACAGGUACCUGUAACUGAGGGAUUGCUGGAAAAACUUGCUGCCAGGUCCACUUUGAUAUGUUAAAUAGGCACCUCAGCCAUUUGUCUCAGGUUUCAACACUUGACUAGUAUCUGAGAAAGACAAUUUUAAAAAAUGUAAUAUUCAUUUUGUUCAUGGUUUUAG